rnacentral:misc_RNA from 1 species
AACUUGCGGGUGGAGCUUGGUGGAGAACCCUAGGCUAAUCUUUAUGCAAGAAAUUGUAUGGUUACUGUUGUUUCAGAUACGUUUCUGCUUUUGUUCAUCUCUUUGCUGUCGGAAUUUUGAACAGUUAAGAAAAUAAUGGUUGUAGCUGACAUUAAUCUCUUGAAACAAAUAGCUUGAUACGGUUUUGUUUAAAUCUGAUUUCCAACACUGCAGAAGAAUUAACGGUGAAAGAGAAUCACCAUAUUUGUUUUGGGAAUCAGAUUUAAACAAAACCGUAUCAAGC